UACGUAGGGGGCAAGCGUUGUCCGGAUUUAUUGGGCGUAAAGAGCGUGUAGGCGGCUAGAUAGGUCCGUUGUGAAAACUCGAGGCUCAACCUCGAGACGCCGGUGGAGACCAUCUAGCUAGAGUCCGGAAGAGGAGAGUGGAAUUCCUGGUGUAGCGGUGAAAUGCGCAGAUAUCAGGAAGAACACCCGUGGCGAAGGCGGCUCUCUGGUACGUGACUGACGCUGAGACGCGAAAGCGUGGGGAGCGAACAGG
rnacentral:rRNA from 1 species